rnacentral:rRNA from 1 species
CACGUAGGCACCAAGCGUUGUCCGGAUUUACUGGGCGUAAAGGGCGCGUAGGCGGCAUGACAAGUCACUUGUGAAAUCUCCGGGCUUAACUCGGAACGGUCAAGUGAUACUGUCGCGCUAGAGUGCGGAAGGGGCAAUCAGAAUUCUUGGUGUGGCGGUGAAAUGCGUAGAUAUCAAGAGGAAUACCUGAGGUGAAGACGGGUUGCUAGGCCGACACUGACGCUGAAGCGCGAAAGCCAGGGGAGCAAACGGG